GAAAUGCGAUAAGUAAUGUGAAUUGCAGAAUUCAGUGAAUCAUCGAAUCUUUGAACGCACAUUGCGCCCCUUGGUAUUCCGAGGGGCAUGCCUGUUCGAGCGUCAUUUCAACCCUCAAGCUCUGCUUGGUAUUGGGUGUUUGUCCCGUCUCCGCGCGUGGACUCGCCCCAAAGUGAUUGGCAGCCGGCGUACUGGUCCCGGAGCGCAGCACAUGUCGCGCAAACGAGUGCCUUGGUACGGCGGCGUCCAUAAGCCCCUCUCUCACGCUCUUGACCUCGGAUCAGGUAGGGAUACCCGCUGAACUUAAGC
rnacentral:misc_RNA from 1 species